rnacentral:rRNA from 1 species
UACAGAGGGUGCAAGCGUUAAUCGGAAUUACUGGGCGUAAAGCGAGCGUAGUCGGUUAUUUAAGUCGGGUGUGAAAGCCCCGGGCUCAACCUGGGAAUUGCAUUCGAUACUGGAUAGCUAGAGUUCGGCAGAGGGAAGCGGAAUUUCCGGUGUAGCGGUGAAAUGCGUAGAUAUCGGAAGGAACAUCAGUGGCGAAGGCGACAUCCUGGACCGGUAUUGACGCUGAGGCGCGAAAGCCAGGGGAGCAAACGGG